GAUGAACGCUGGCGGCGUGCCUAAUACAUGCAAGUCGAGCGAACGGACGAGAAGCUUGCUUUUCUGAUGUUAGCGGCGGACGGGUGAGUAACACGUGGAUAACCUACCUAUAAGACUGGGAUAACUUCGGGAAACCGGAGCUAAUACCGGAUAAUAUUUUGAACCGCAUGGUUCAAAAGUGAAAGACGGUCUUGCUGUCACUUAUAGAUUGAUCCGCGCUGCAUUAGCUAGUUGGUAAGGUAACGGCUUACCAAGGCAACGAUGCAUAGCCGACCUGAGAGGGUGAUCGGACACACUGGAACUGAGACACGGUCCAGACUCCUACGGGAGGCAGCAGUAGGGAAUAUUCCGCAAUGGGCGAAAGCCUGACGGAGCAACGCCGUGUGAGUGAUGAAGGUCUUCGGAUCGUAAAACUCUGUUAUUAGGGAAGAACAUAUGUGUAAGUAAAUGUGCACAUCUUGACGGUAACUAAUCAGAAAGCCACGGCUAACUACGUG
rnacentral:rRNA from 1 species